rnacentral:tRNA from 1 species
AAUAUAGCUCAGUGGCACAGUGCCUGCUUGGCAAGCAUGAGGUUGUGAGUUCAAUUCCCAGUAUU